GUCCUCACUUCGGCAGCACAUAUACUAAAAUUGGAACGAUGCAGAGAAGAUUAGCUUGGCCCCUGCACAAGGAUGACAAACAAAUUCAUGCCACAUUCCAUAUUUU
rnacentral:snRNA from 1 species